CGGGGAAUUUUGGACAAUGGGCGGAAGCCUGAUCCAGCAAUGCCGCGUGUGUGAAGAAGGCCUUCGGGUUGUAAAGCACUUUUGUCCGGAAAGAAAUCCUUGGCUCUAAUACAGUCGGGGGAUGACGGUACCGGAAGAAUAAGCACCGGCUAACUACGUGCCAGCAGCCGCGGUAAUACGUAGGGUGCAAGCGUUAAUCGGAAUUACUGGGCGUAAAGCGUGCGCAGGCGGUUUGCUAAGACCGAUGUGAAAUCCCCGGGCUCAACCUGGGAACUGCAUUGGUGACUGGCAGGCUAGAGUAUGGCAGAGGGGGGUAGAAUUCCACGUGUAGCAGUGAAAUGCGUAGAGAUGUGGAGGAAUACCGAUGGCGAAGGCAGCCCCCUGGGCCAAUACUGACGCUCAUGCACGAAAGCGUGGGGAGCAAACAGGAUUAGAUACCCUGGUAGUCCACGCCCUAAACGAUGUCAACUAGUUGUUGGGGAUUCAUUUCCUUAGUAACGUAGCUAACGCGUGAAGUUGACCGCCUGGGGAGUACGGUCGCAAGAUUAAAACUCAAAUGAAUUGACGGGGUCAUAGCUGUUUCCU
rnacentral:rRNA from 1 species